rnacentral:rRNA from 1 species
GAUGAACGCUGGCGGCGUGCCUAAUACAUGCAAGUCGAGCGAACGGACGAGAAGCUUGCUUUUCUGAUGUUAGCGGCGGACGGGUGAGUAACACGUGGAUAACCUACCUAUAAGACUGGGAUAACUUCGGGAAACCGGAGCUAAUACCGGAUAAUAUUUUGAACCGCAUGGUUCAAAAGUGAAAGACGGUCUUGCUGUCACUUAUAGAUGGAUCCGCGCUGCAUUAGCUAGUUGGUAAGGUAACGGCUUACCAAGGCAACGAUGCAUAGCCGACCUGAGAGGGUGAUCGGCCACACGGGAACUGAGACACGGUCCAGACUCCUACGGGAGGCAGCAGUAGGGAAUCUUCCGCAAUGGGCGAAAGCCUGACGGAGCAACGCCGCGUGAGUGAUGAAGGUCUUCGGAUCGUAAAACGCUGUUAUUAGGGAAGAACAUAUGUGUAAGUAACUGUGCACAUCUUGACGGUACCGAAUCAGAAAGCCACGGCUAACUACGU